rnacentral:lncRNA from 1 species
CCACCGCACCCCUGAAGCCACCGCACCCCCCCCAGACCACCGCACCCCCGCGGCCAUCGCACCCCCGAGGCCACCGCACUCCCCGGGCACAGCAGUGACCGUGGCCGCAUCCCCGGGGAACGCUGCGGAACGAGCGGCGCUGGAUCGCCACGGGAGGAAGAAGCCGCUCUCCCCCCGCCGCUCUCGACUGGGACCGGGGCCCUGCUCGGGUCGCUCAUCCGACACCUGCCGGAGAAGAAUGGACUCUCUGUCCUCAGAGGGAAACACAACCUAAUGGGACACAGCUCUGGCACCACAUUUCCUCUUGUUCCUGCUGUCCUGGAAAGGCACAGGCUGUCCAAACCCUGGUUGCUGCAGUCCCCAACGCCUGAGACAGAGAGAGCCCUGGUCAGAGUGGCCAGUGUCACUUCAAAAGAAAGGAAAUGCACCAAACUUACUGUGGGGCAGGAACUACUCUGUGCUUUCUUCAGUUUUAAAAUUGUUAGUAAAUUCCUGAUGUGUAAUUACUUAAUGCUGCCUAUAAAGAGAGAUUUUCCUCACCGCUAUUUAUGGAUUGUUAUAUACAAAUGCACAUAACUUUAUGAAGGAAAUCAGGAAGUAAAAACCAACACCCUCUGCUACAUUAGAUUAUUAUAUUUUUGUGGCCAUUUAUUCUGUGGUAAACCUGCCUUUCCCAGUGUGCUUUGGGGUUUCAGCUAUUUAGGAGUAAUUUCAGCCAACUCUUUGCAGUGAAAAUAUGAAGGUGGGGUCAAGUGACCAGUACCCUG